GACGAACGCUGGCGGCGUGCUUACACAUGCAAGUCGAACGGAAAGGCCCUGCUUUUGUGGGGUGCUCGAGUGGCGAACGGGUGAGUAACACGUGAGUAACCUGCCCUUGACUUUGGGAUAACUUCAGGAAACUGGGGCUAAUACCGGAUAGGAGCUCCUGCUGCAUGGUGGGGGUUGGAAAGUUUCGGCGGUUGGGGAUGGACUCGCGGCUUAUCAGCUUGUUGGUGGGGUAGUGGCUUACCAAGGCUUUGACGGGUAGCCGGCCUGAGAGGGUGACCGGCCACAUUGGGACUGAGAUACGGCCCAGACUCCUACGGGAGGCAGCAGUGGGGAAUAUUGCACAAUGGGCGGAAGCCUGAUGCAGCAACGCCGCGUGCGGGAUGACGGCCUUCGGGUUGUAAACUGCUUUCGCCUGUGACGAAGCGUGAGUGACGGUAAUGGGUAAAGAAGCACCGGCUAACUGCGUGCCAGCAGCCGCGGUGAUACGUAGGGUGCGAGCGUUGUCCGGAUUUAUUGGGCGUAAAGGGCUCGUAGGUGGUUGAUCGCGUCGGAGGUGUAAUCUUGGGGCUUAACCCUGAGCGUGCUUUCGAUACGGGUUGACUUGAGGAAGGUAGGGGAGAAUGGAAUUCCUGGUGGAGCGGUGGAAUGCGCAGAUAUCAGGAGGAACACCAGUGGCGAAGGCGGUUCUCUGGGCCUUUCCUGACGCUGAGGAGCGAAAGCGUGGGGAGCGAACAGGCUUAGAUACCCUGGUAGUCCACGCUGUAAACGGUGGGUACUAGGUGUGGGGUCCAUUCCACGGGUUCCGUGCCGUAGCUAACGCUUUAAGUACCCCGCCUGGGGAGUACGGCCGCAAGGCUAAAACUCAAAGGAAUUGACGGGGCCCCGCACAAGCGGCGGAGCAUGCGGAUUAAUUCGAUGCAACGCGUAGAACCUUACCUGGGUUUGACAUGGAUCGGGAGUGCUCAGAGAUGGGUGUGCCUCUUUUGGGGUCGGUUCACAGGUGGUGCAUGCCUGUCGUCAGCUCGUGUCGUGAGAUGUUGGGUUAAGUCCCGCAACGAGCGCAACCCUUGUUCACUGUUGCCAGCACGUUAUGGUGGGGACUCAGUGGAGACCGCCGGGGUCAACUCGGAGGAAGGUGGGGAUGACGUCAAGUCCUCAUGCCCCUUAUGUCCAGGGCUUCACGCAUGCUACAAUGGCUGGUACAGAGAGUGGCGAGCCUGUGAGGGUGAGCGAAUCUCGGAAAGCCGGUCUCAGUUCGGAUUGGGGUCUGCAACUCGACCUCAUGAAGUCGGAGUCGCUAGUAAUCGCAGAUCAGCAACGCUGCGGUGAAUACGUUCCCGGGGCU
rnacentral:rRNA from 1 species